rnacentral:rRNA from 1 species
GAUGAACGCUGGCGGCGUGCCUAAUACAUGCAAGUCGAGCGAACGGACGAGAAGCUUGCUUCUCUGAUGUUAGCGGCGGACGGGUGAGUAACACGUGGAUAACCUACCUAUAAGACUGGGAUAACUUCGGGAAACCGGAGCUAAUACCGGAUAAUAUUUUGAACCGCAUGGUUCAAAAGUGAAAGACGGUCUUGCUGUCACUUAUAGAUGGAUCCGCGCUGCAUUAGCUAGUUGGUAAGGUAACGGCUUACCAAGGCAACGAUGCAUAGCCGACCUGAGAGGGUGAUCGGCCACACUGGAACUGAGACACGGUCCAGACUCCUACGGGAGGCAGCAGUAGGGAAUCUUCCGCAAUGGGCGAAAGCCUGACGGAGCAACGCCGCGUGAGUGAUGAAGGUCUUCGGAUCGUAAAACUCUGUUAUUAGGGAAGAACAUAUGUGUAAGUAACUGAGUACAUCUUGACGGUACCUAAUCAGAAAGCCACGGCUAACUACGUG